rnacentral:piRNA from 1 species
UGUAAUCCUGUAUAAAUGUAAAUUAAG